CCUGCCUAUAACUUUUCUUUCUCCUAUUUUGCUGCUCCGUUUCUGCCUGCUUCUGCCUGUCCCUGCUAUCAGUUUCCACUCCUCCCCUUCCUCUUCCCACGUGUUUGCGUGCAUGCGCGUGUUAGUUCAUUGAUGUGUGCGCUCGCGCCCACCAACCCACUCGCACAAAAGGAGGUUUUAACCUCCGAAAUCCCUACCGCACGCAUUUUCGUCCACGUUGGUUGAUUGAUGUGGGCGCUCGUGCCCGCCCGCGCCCCGCGCCCACUCGCACAAAAGGAGGUUUUAACCUCCGAAAUCCCUACCGCACACAUUCUCGCGCACGGUUUAUUGAUGUGUGCGCCCGCUCGGACCCGCCCGCUCGCUCAAAAGGAGGUUUUAACCUCCGAAGUCCCUACCGCUCACCUGGAAUCUCGAAACGCCCAC